AUUGAACGCUGGCGGCAGGCCUAACACAUGCAAGUCGCACGAGUGGCGGACUGGUGAGUAAUGUCUGGGAAACUGCCUAAUGGAGGGGUCUAACUACUGUAAACGGUAGCUAAUACCGCAUACCAUCAGAUGUGCCCAGAUGGGAUUGGCUUGUUGGUGGGGUAACGGCUCACAAAGGCGAAGAUCCCUAGCUGGUCUGAGAGGAUGACCAGCCACAAUGUGACUGAGACACGGGCCAGACUCCGACGGGAGGCAGCAGUGGGGAAUAGUGGACAAUGGGCGCAAGCCUGAGGCAGCCAUGCCGCGUGUAUGAAGAAGGCUUUCGGGUUGUAAAGUACUUUCAGCGGGGAGGCGUUACCCGCAGAAGAAGCACCGGCUAACUCCGUGCCAGCCGCCGCGGUAAUAC
rnacentral:rRNA from 1 species